GGCGAGAUGGCCGAGUGGUCUAAGGCGCUGGUUUUAGGCACCAGUCUCUCCGGAGGCGUGGGUUCGAAUCCCACUCUCGUCA
rfam:Brugia malayi, FR3, WGS project CAPY01000000 data, contig: ctg1512442